rnacentral:rRNA from 1 species
AACAAAAACAUGUCCUUUAGUUUAUUUAUUUAAGGUCUAGCCUGCCCACUGAAAUUAUUUAAAGGGCCGCAGUAAUUUGACUGUGCAAAGGUAGCAUAAUCAUUAGUUUUUUAAUUGAAAGCUUGUAUGAAAGGUUGGACGAGGUAAAUUCUGUCUCUAUUUAAUUUAUAAUAAAAUUUAAUUUUUAAGUUAAAAAGCUUAAAUAUAUUUAAAAGACGAGAAGACCCUAUAGAUCUUUAUAUUAAAUUUAUUAAUUUUAAUAUAGAAUUAUUUCUUUAUUAAUAAUAUUAAUAUUUUAUUGGGGUAAUAAAAAGAUUAAAAUAAUUCUUUUUGAAAAUUUUCAUUAAUUUAUGUUUAUUUGAUCCAAUUUUUUUGAUUAGAAGAUUAAGUUACCUUAGGGAUAACAGCGUAAUUUUUUUAGAGAGUUCAUAUCGAUAAAAAAGUUUGCGACCUCGAUGUUG